rnacentral:rRNA from 1 species
CCUACGGGAGGCAGCAGUGAGGAAUAUUGGUCAAUGGGCGCAAGCCUGAACCAGCCAUGCCGCGUGCAGGAAGAAGGUCCUAUGGAUUGUAAACUGCUUUUAUUUGGGAAUAAACCUCUGGUCGUGCACCGGAGCUGAAGGUACCAAAUGAAUAAGCACCGGCUAACUCCGUGCCAGCAGCCGCGGUAAUACGGAGGGUGCAAGCGUUAUCCGGAAUCAUUGGGUUUAAAGGGUCCGCAGGCGGACUUAUAAGUCAGUGGUGAAAGCCUACAGCUUAACUGUAGAACUGCCAUUGAUACUGUAAGUCUUGAAUUCGGUCGAAGUGGGCGGAAUGUGUAGUGUAGCGGUGAAAUGCUUAGAUAUUACACAGAACACCGAUAGCGAAGGCAGCUCACUAGGCCUGGAUUGACGCUCAGGGACGAAAGCGUGGGGAUCAAACAGGAUUAGAUACCCCUGUAGUC